ensembl:lncRNA
CUGCCGUCCGUUGGUAUCGUUUGUAAAGAAAGUACCGGGGUUGCGAUUCUUCCGAACCUGAAGGGUGCAGGAAAUAUGCGGGAGUGUUUUAGUCGGUCCACAAGUGAUAAAGAAGAAGAACUACGCACACGGGGGAAAACUGCAAAAGAUGCUAUGGCGACAAGUUCAGCUCCUCCCCGACUCGUCGAGAGAGAAAAAGGCAAGCGUCGAAUAUGGAAAUACUUCGCAUUCGAGGCGGAUAAAAACAGACAUAUAAUUGAUUCUCUGAAGCCGGUGUGCAAACGAUACCAUCGUUCACUUCAAACAAAGGGAGGAAACACCUCGAAUUUGGCGAAGCACCUGAAAGACAGGCACCCCGAUCUCUUCAAAGAAUUCAAGAUGAUAUCAGCCAGAGGAGGAUGUCCACCAGGAGAGUCAGGAGCAAAGUCAGCAAACAUUAACACAGCCAACCUUAAGAGUAGCUUAUAAAAGGCACAGAAAACAUGACAAAAACGCAACGAAGAAAGGAAACUGGACAGGGCAGUUUCUGAAUUUAUAUUCAUGGAUCAAGUUCCUGUCUACACUGUAGAAAAGCAUGGAUUCCAGCAAAUGCUUCAGCAGUUCAACCCCAGAUACCAGCUACCAAGCAGAAAUUACUUCAUGUAUACAGAGUUCCCCAAACUAUACACCGAAACCAGAGACCUCAUUUCAGAACCUCUCAAAGAAAAAACAUUUUAUGCCUACAUAUUGUAAGGGAAUUAGCCCGGGGAAGGGCGGAGCACAGACCCACAAGAGACAGGUUUUAGUCAAUACGGGGGUUUUAUUUGUGAGUGUGAGGGGUUUUGUGGGGGUGUGGCUGGCAUGGUGACGUUCUCGAGGGCGUGUCGGGGCUCGCAAGAGGUGUGUGUGGGUUUCCCGUGCCGUCAUCCACCGUUGAACGCGAUCUCACCAUCCGGCGGUCUUGUCCGCAAUCGAACGUAGUCUGUCUCUUAGCCGUUCUCCUCGCAGGGGCAGAAGAGCGUCCUUUUAUACUCUUCCGCCGUUGCCUGCGUGGUGGAAUUUUCCCGACGGAUUCCCCAAUCGCCGGCCGGUGUAGCGUCGACGGUCCCGCCCCACCGUGACGG